UCGCUUCCUGUAAUAGUUGGAACGGGUUGCCUGGAGACAGCGGAAAAGUUUGGGAGCAGCGAUGGAGAAGUAUGAGAAAAUCAAAGUUGUCGGAAGAGGAGCUUUCGGGAUCGUUCACCUGUGCCGCAGGCGCGGCGACGGGGCCUUUGUCAUCCUGAAGGAGAUCCCAGUGGAGCAGAUGUCACGAGAUGAACGCCUGGCGGCUCAGAACGAGUGUCAGGUCCUGAAACUGCUCAACCAUCCAAAUAUCAUAGAGUACUAUGAGAACUUCCUGGAAGACAAGGCCCUCAUGAUAGCUAUGGAGUAUGCACCAGGUGGAACCUUGGCCGAUUACAUACAGAAGCGCUGUAACUCUCUGCUGGAUGAGGACACCAUCCUUCACUUCUUUGUACAAAUCUUACUUGCCCUGUACCAUGUCCACAACAAACUUAUUUUGCACAGAGACCUUAAGACGCAGAAUAUUCUUCUUGACAAGCACCAGAUGAUCGUCAAAAUCGGUGACUUUGGCAUCUCUAAAAUCCUUGUCAGCAAGAGCAAAGCUUACACGGUGGUCGGGACCCCAUGUUACAUCUCCCCAGAGCUGUGUGAGGGAAAGCCGUAUAACCAGAAGAGUGACAUCUGGGCUUUGGGCUGUGUGCUCUAUGAGCUAGCGAGCCUUAAGAGAGCCUUUGAGGCAGCUAAUCUACCUGCCCUUGUUCUAAAGAUCAUGAGCGGAACAUUUGCUCCAAUUUCAGACCGGUACAGUCCAGAACUCCGACAGCUCAUCCUCAACAUGCUCAAUCUGGAUCCAUCCAAACGGCCUCAACUCAAUGAAAUAAUGGCUCUUCCCAUAUGCAUCAGGCCCCUCCUUAAUCUCUUCACAGAUAUAGGCAAUGUCAAAAUGCGCAGGAUUGAGAAACCACUGUCUGCUGUGCAAACUGGUCAUCAUGGUAGACCAGGAGGGAGAGUUCCUACCAACAGGUCCAGAGAUGGAUCAGUGGGUUUAGGAUCAGGGAAGGUGCAUUCCCUCCCGCUGUCGUCGGUGUACACGUGGGGAAGUGGAAUCUCAUCGCCCCUCCGCCUUCCGAUGCUCAACACUGAGGUGCUUCAAGUGUCUCUGGGCCGCACUCAGAAGAUGGGGGUGACCAAGUCUGGCCGUCUAAUUACAUGGGAGACUCCAUCAGUGGGGUCUGGUGAGGCCAGUCUGCCCGGUGUGGUGGAGCAGAUGCAGCCUCCUUUCAUUUCCCGUUUUCUUGAGGGUCAGUCUGGAGUCACCAUCAAGUCUGUAUCCUGCGGUGAUCUUUUUACCACCUGCAUGACAGACAGGGGCAUUAUCAUGACGUUUGGUAGUGGGAGCAACGGCUGCCUGGGACACGGUAACUUCAAUGAUGUAACACAGCCCAAGAUAGUUGAGGCACUCCUCGGCUACGAGCUGGUUCAGGUGUCAUGUGGUGCUUCCCACGUACUCGCUGUGACCAAUGAAAGAGAAGUAUUUGCCUGGGGAAGAGGAGACAAUGGUCGCCUCGGGCUUGGCACCCAAGACACCCACAACUCUCCACAGCAGGUGUGUUUACCUGUGGAAUUUGAGGCCCAAAGGGUGAUGUGUGGAGUGGACUGUUCCAUGACUAUCAGCACCCAGUACAGCAUUGUGACAUGUGGAAGCAACAGGUUCAACAAGCUUGGGCUGGAUAAGAUAACAGCUGGAGAGGAACCAAAUCCCUCCAAUCAGGUGGAAGAAGUCCAUUCUUUCACUCCUGUCCAGUCAGCUCCACUCAACAGUGAGAAGAUUGUUCACAUUGACAUUGGGACAGCACAUUCUGUUGCUGUUACAGAAAGGGGUCAGUGUUUUACCUUUGGCAGCAACCAGCAUGGCCAGAUGGGCUGUAGCUCCCGUCGUAGCAGCCGUGUUCCCUACUUGGUGCCUGGGCUGCAGGGCAUCACCAUGGCUGCAUGUGGAGACGCUUUCACCUUAGCUAUCGGAUCUGAUGGGGAGGUGUACACCUGGGGAAAGGGGGCCCGUGGCCGACUCGGAAGAAAAGAGGAGGAUUCUGGGAUACCGAAGGCGGUGCAGCUUGACGAGAGUCACCCAUUCAUGGUGACAUCGGUGGCUUGUUGUCAUGGCAACACUCUGCUGGCAGUGAAACAUGAAAGACAGGCUGAACUUGAGACAAGCUUCUCUUGAUGAUAUCGACAGAGAUGCAUGUUUAUGAAGAAUUGAGAAAGGACUCAUUUCUUUGCUCGAGGAACCUGUCCCAAGAUGAUUUUGUCCUAAAAACGAACCCACACCCACUCAGUGGUUGCCAAGAAGCCCGGUGGUGGCAUGAGGUGAAGCUUCCUCUGAAUAUAACUCCUCCCAGAGGCCCGUCUGUGCUGCAGUUGAAAGAUUCCCUUUCACACUGCAGCUGCGGCCUCAGAUUUCCACUUGGUCUUCCUCUCCGUCUAGUUUUUUUCUUCUCUCUUUCUGGGAAUGAAUGUUUGUUUCAUUCGGCGGUUUGAUAUCAUAAAGCAAAGCACAGAAAAGGCCGAGCCCUGUGUGUUGCAGCAGGUGUAUCUCACAACAGGAACAGGUUAGUUAAAGGACAGUUGCAACACUCUUUCUGAAGAUGGAUUAUAGGAAGUCAUUAGGCAGCUUUCAUGUGGUGAGCUAUUGUCGUCUGUCACGUGCGGAGUUAGCAUGAUAAAGGCCAAUAAAAGUCAAACUGGUUUGAAUUCCCUUAAGCCUCUGGUGAAUGAGAUGACACAAUGCGCAGAAACGAAAAGAACAAAAGCCACUUGAGUGUUGAGCAACUUAUAAGUCGAAUGAACCAAGCACAUUAAUCUCGAUCACAUCGUCAGCGCUCACAUUGUGCUUCAUUGGAUUAGUCCUUAGUACAUUUGUAACUCAACAGCAGCAUUCAAACCAGAUAACGAUGUGUUGUUCAGGGUUCAACUGAUCAGCCUCUUUAGGACUUAAUGACUGUGUUCCAAAUCUUGUUCACUCCUCCCUAUAUAAGAGACACUCAAUAGUUUACUCUGCAGGGAGCUGUAAAUAUGGACACCAAUUAAUCAUCCUCAUCACUGACAUCUAUUAAAUGUGAGAAGUUGCAUUGUGAGAUUGUUAGCAAAAAAUUGUUGUGUUCCAUUGUAGGAAUCUUUGAGGGCACUACUUUAUAGAGGAUAGAUGUCACACUCGGACACUCACAGAAAAUGGUGGACAGUAAAUCAAGUACAUUAAAUAGACUAUUUAUUUGUGUGUGUUGUAACUGACUGAAAUGUGUAUAAUAUUUAAAAUGAAAUGGUAUGUAUAUUGUGUAAACUGUAUUCAUAAGAUGACCUAAGACUGGUGAGAAAAGAAAACUGCCAAAGUGGUGGAAGAAGUACUCAGCUAUUUUACUUAAGUAAAAGUAGCAAUACCACAGUGUAGAAAUACUCGGUUACAAGUCCUGCAUUCAAUAUUUUACUUAAGUAAAAGUACAAAAGUAUGAGCACCUUCUAAAAUUGUGUUUAAUGAUACAUUGAUGAUGUGUGAAAUAAACGUGUCAUUAAAAAAAUAAAAGUAAAAGUACUCAU